rnacentral:rRNA from 1 species
UACGUAGGGUGCGAGCGUUGUCCGGAAUUAUUGGGCGUAAAGGGCUCGUAGGCGGUUUGUCGCGUCGGGAGUGAAAACUCAGGGCUUAACCCUGAGCCUGCUUCCGAUACGGGCAGACUAGAGGUAUGCAGGGGAGAACGGAAUUCCUGGUGUAGCGGUGAAAUGCGCAGAUAUCAGGAGGAACACCGGUGGCGAAGGCGGCAUCCUGGACCGACACUGACGCUGAGGAGCGAAAGCCAGGGGAGCAAACGGG